UACGAGGGGGGCAAGCGUUGUUCGGAUUUAUUGGGCGUAAAGGGUGCGUAGGCGGUUUGGCAAGUCUGAUGUGAAAUCUAUGGGCUCAACUCAUAGUCUGCAUCGGAAACUGCCGGGCUUGAGUAUGGGAGAGGUGAGUGGAAUUCCUGGUGUAGCGGUGAAAUGCGUAGAUAUCAGGAGGAACACCUGUGGCGAAAGCGGCUCACUGGACCAUAACUGACGCUGAUGCACGAAAGCUAGGGGAGCAAACAGG
rnacentral:rRNA from 1 species